rnacentral:rRNA from 1 species
GAGUUUGAUCCUGGCUCAGGAUGAACGCUGGCGGCGUGCUUAACACAUGCAAGUCGAGCGAAGCGUUUAAGAUGAUCUCUUCGGAUUGAGUCUUAUAUGACUGAGCGGCGGACGGGUGAGUAACGCGUGGGUAACCUGCCUCAUACAGGGGGAUAACAGUUAGAAAUGACUGCUAAUACCGCAUAAGCGCACAGGGCUGCAUGGCCUGGUGUGAAAAACUCCGGUGGUAUGAGAUGGACCCGCGUCUGAUUAGCUAGUUGGAGGGGUAACGGCCCACCAAGGCGACGAUCAGUAGCCGGCCUGAGAGGGUGAACGGCCACAUUGGGACUGAGACACGGCCCAGACUCCUACGGGAGGCAGCAGUGGGGAAUAUUGCACAAUGGGGGAAACCCUGAUGCAGCGACGCCGCGUGAAGGAAGAAGUAUCUCGGUAUGUAAACUUCUAUCAGCAGGGAAGAAAAUGACGGUACCUGACUAAGA